AGGGGUGUCGCCAAGUGGUAAGGCGCUGGAUUUUGGUUCCAGUCAUCGGUGGUUCGAAUCCACCCACCUCUG
rnacentral:tRNA from 1 species